AAGCGGCGGAGCAUGCGGAUUAAUCGAUGCAACGACGAACGAACCUUACCAAGGCUUGACAUACACGUAACGCCAGAGAUGGUGCCCCUUGUGGUCGGUGUACAGGUGGUGCAUGGUUGUCGUCAGCUCGUGUCGUGAGAUGUUGGGUUAAGUCCCGCAACGAGCGCAACCCUCGUCCUAUGUUGCCAGCGGGUCAUGCCGGGGACUCAUGGGAGACUGCCGGGGUCAACUCGGAGGAAGGUGGGAUGACGUCAAAUCAUCAUGCCCCUUAUGUCUUGGGCUUCACGCAUGCUACAAUGGCCGGUACAAAGGGCUGCGAUACCGCGAGGUGGAGCGAAUCCCAGAAAGCCGGUCUCAGUUCGGAUUGGGGUCUGCAACUCGACCCCAUGAAGUCAGAGUCGCUAGUAAUCGCAGAUCAGCAACGCUGCGGUGAAUACGUUCCCGGGCCUU
rnacentral:rRNA from 1 species